rnacentral:lncRNA from 1 species
AGUGGAUUGGGGCCAGGGAUGCUUCUAAAUACCCUACAGUGCACAGGCCAGACCCCACAGUGAAGUGUCUUCCAGUCCAAAAUGUCGGUAGCAGCACCCCAAGAAACCCCGCUCUGCAGCCAGAAUAUGCACCCUGCACCCUACGCUCCUCCCGCCUCCACUGCCGUGGCCCGGCCAGACCCACGUCUCCGCUGGCCUGAGUGACUGCAAUGGCCUCUUCCACUCUUGCCCUCCAGCAGACUGGUUUCCACCACGCAGCCAGCAGUGCCUUCCUUCCUUCCUUCCUUUCUUUCUUUCUUUCUCUCUUUCUUUCUUUCUUUCCUUCUCUCUUUCUUUCUUUCCUUUUUCGUUAAUAACUUCGUAUAGCAUACNNNNNNNNNNNNNNNNNNNNNNNNNNNNNNNNNNNNNNNNNNNNNNNNNNNNNNNNNNNNNNNNNNNNNNNNNNNNNNNNNNNNNNNNNNNNNNUCUCUCUUUCUUUCUUCCUUUUUUUUUUUCGAGAUGGAGUCUUGCUCUGUCACCCAGGCUGGAGUGCAGUGGUGUGAUCUUGGUUCACUGCAACCUCCGCCUCCUGUGUUCGAGCGAUUCUCCUGCCUCAGCCUCUUGAGUAGCUGGGAUUACAGGCGCGUGCCACCAUGCCCAGCUAAUUUUUUUUGUAUUUUUAGUGGAGAUGGGAUUUCAUCAUGUUGGUCAGGCUGGUCUCGAACUCCUGACCUCGUGAUCCGCCCGCCUUGGCCUCCCAAAGUGCUGAGAUUACAGGCAUGAGCCACGGCGCCCAGCCAGCAGUGCCUUUCUAAAGCAUGAGAUCCUGCCCUUCCCCAGCCUAAAACCUUCUGGUGGCUUUCCCAUGAGAACUGAACUCAUCCCUGGCCAACAAGGCUCCAGACAGUCCCUGCUGCCCAUCACCCUCCAGGCUCAGUCUCGGGCAUGGCUGUCCUGGCCGCUCUCUCGUCCCUUGUUGGGGGACUUUGCUCUUGCCAUCCCAUGGGCUUAGCAUGCUCCUCCCAGACCUCAAUGCACCUCCUCAUCUCUCAGGUCUCUGGUCCCAUGACCCAACCUCAGGAAGCUGGGGGUGCGGUGGGCGGGCUGUGGCCCAGGGCGGGUUUGGGGCUGUGGUUUGUGACUCAGCGCUGGUUCACUUCUCUGCACUGGGGUGUGGUGGGGGUGAUGCUGCUUUUAGUCAAAGCAGCUACAAAACUCCGAGAGCAAGUCGGCCGUUUUCUACAUCUGGGCCGGCCGGGCUCCUUCUCGGAUUUAUCGCAGGCGGGCAGCCGCUGACCCCUCCCUUUGCUAUUGGAGGUGGCUGCCCCGCCCCAGAGGCGCUCCUGCCACCCGCCCCUCCGAGGGGGGUGCCUCCAGCCACUUGUCCACAGCCUCGGGAGUCCCCACAGCAGAGGCAGCCGUGGGAGGAACAUGGAAACAGAGCAAGGGGAGGGACAGGAGCUCUCAGCCCUGCCUGCAGGAGCGCCCAGAGACACGCAUCACAGAACUGGGUCAGGGUGCUAGGGAUCCAGGACAGGAGGGCCUCGCAGAUGCCCAGAAGGUUCGGAGGAAGCAGCUGCAGUUUCCGGAAUGUGCCAGGCUCCCUGAUGCUUCUGAGCGUCUGCAAGUGUGGCCCCCCUGCCUGAAACACCCCCACCCUCCUGCUGGUCUGGCCACCUCCCAGUCAGCCUUGUCCAGUUACCUUUUCCUGCCUCACUUCCCCACAGAGCGAGCGUGGCUCCUCUCAGCUCUCCCAGCCCCGAACCCUUGGGCCUCUAGUUUGGCAGCUGUCACACGAGCUACAGUCACGACUGGUCUGUCACCCAUUGCAGACGGGGCUCCUGGAAGGGUGAUGCUAUGGCUCCCCCGGCCUCUAGCACGGGGCCCAGCACAGAAUGGGAGCUGAGGAAAUGUUUGCAGCAAGAGAUAAAACUGCUUCACAGUGUGUGUUAUGAGUUGAACUGUUUCCCCCAAAAAGAUAUGUUGAAGUCUUAUGACCUGAAUUGUGUUUCUCCAAAAUCCAUAUGUUGAAGCCCUAACCCCUGUACCUCAGGAUGUGACUGCAUUUGGAGAAAGGGCCUUUAAAGAAGUAGUGUAAUUAAGUUAAAAUGAGGUCAUGUGGGUGGGCUGUAAUCCCAUCUGCCUGGAGUCCUUACGAGAAGGGAAGAUAUGGACAUAGCCAUGCCCGGAGGAAAGGCCAGGUGAAGACACAGGGAGGAGACGUUCCUCUGCAAGCCAAGGAGAGAAGCCUCGGAAGAAACCAGCCCUGCGGACCCCUUGGUCGUGGACUUCCAGCUUCCAGAACUGGGAGAAAUGCAUUUCUAUUGUUUAAGCCCCUGGGUCUGCAGUACUUUGUUAUAGCAAUCCCGCAAACGAAUACAAAGUCCUAACCCCCGGUGCCUCCGAAGGACCCUUAUUUGGAACUAGGGUCAUUGCCGAUGUGAUAAGUUAAGAUGAUGUCAUACUGGAGUAGGGUGGGCCCUGAUCCAAUAUGAAUGUAUCCUUAUAAAAAGGGGAAAUUUUGACACACACACACACACAGGGAGACCGCCACGUGGACACGAAGGCAGAGAUUGAGCUGAUGCAUCUAGAAGCCCAGGAAUGCCAAAGGUGGCCAGAAAACCACCCAGAGCUGGGGAGGCCUGGAAUAGAGUCUCCGUCAGAGCCCCAGCAGGAACCAUCCCUGCUCACACCUUGAUCAGAGACUUUUGGCCUGCAGAACUGCAAGGCAGUGAAUUUCUAUUGUUUCAAGCCACCUAGUUUGUGGUACUUUGUUAGGGCAGCUCUGGCAAACUAACAGAAUAUGGGAGAUUAAAAUAUCAUCCCACUACAAGUUCAUCCCAACAAGGGGUUCUGCCGGCGGCAGCACAAAGCUACCAUGAAAACACCUAAUUAUGAGAAAUGAGCUCCCAGACCCCCCUGCCCGUCACUCCCUGAUCUUAUCAACUUCUGCCCCGUCCACUCGCACGGACAACUGGUUUACCUGUCUGUGUCGCCCCCAAGCCAGCCACCCCCAGAACCAUGCUCUGCCCAUUGCUGGGCUCAGUAAAUACUCUCACUUGCGGCUAAAUCACCCAUCCAGAAUCAUACUCUGCUCCCUGAAAUCCCAGACCCAGGCUGCACUGAGCCCUCCCACACGGGUACAAGAGCACAUUUAGACCAAAUUUCAGCAGGUCCAGGAAGGCCCUGGAUGCCAAAGUUUGCACCUUCUGGUGCUUCCCGACAUGCCACCCAUGGCUGACUUGCAUUCUCUGCCUUGGCUGGUACCUGUCCAGCUGCACACCUGAUAUGCCCCAGCUCUAAAUAAGGAGAGGAACUAAACCCAGCACUGCCCUGUGGCAAGCUGUGGAGAAGGAAUGGGAGUGGGUGGAGACAUACCUUCCUGCUCCAUGGACGUGUGGUUAGGAAACACCAUUCCCGGCCAGGAGCAGAAGCUGGGCUGGGGUGAGCCGAAGUCUCGGCCAAGACUCCUUGACCUUUAGGGAGUGCCUGAGAUGCUACACAGCCAACAAGCUGCUGGGCCAGGGACAGUUGCAGAACCAGGAUUGGCCUACUUUAGCCCCCUGCCCAGGGCUCGAAUCCCCUCUGCAGUCUCCCUGCUUAGGGGACACCACUGUGUUUGAACACCUCAGCUGAUAUGGGACUGCUGGCAUCUUUCCUGCCUGGACCUGAGAAUGGCUGGCCAAGGCUGAGGCUUGGAGCGGCUCAUUCCCUUCCAAACUUGCCCAUAUCCGUGCAGUGGGCCACAGUUCCUGUCUGGGAGCCCCCCACUCCUGCAGGUCCUCCUCAGCAGCCUUCCCCAUGGCUCUAUGUAAAAUUUCACCCCCACCCCUUUUUCCUGCCAUAUUUCUCUUCUUGUCACUUUCCACCCUCUAAGUCUUGUUUGUGCAUUUAACUGAUAGCUUUUGGUCACCGUCUGUCUCCUCCCGUAGAGAGGCCGCCCUGGGAGGGAGGGUUUAUUUGGGGGCUCGGGGUUGCUACAGCAGGCACCAAGUCAGCAGCUGUGGCCUGACCGAAUAGGAGAGAGGCUGGAGUGUUAAGCGGAGGCGUUUCUGCAGUGGGGCCACAACCACGCAGGGCUGGCUGGAGGGGGCUGGGCGGGGGUCCUGCAGGGAGGUGAUGGGUCCCGGUAGCUGCGCCGGGUCUCCUGCAGAAGAGGUUGCAUUUCAGAUCCGUGAGCUUCCCCUCAUUCCACACACUGGCUUCCUCCACUUCUUUUUCCUCCCCUGGGAAUAAUUGGAAAAAUGAUUCCUAAGCUGUCAGGAGAAAAUAAAGGAACCAUAGCGACCGAUUCGCAGCCUCUCCUAAAUCAGCCAAAUGAGAAAUAGAUUUGGAACCACCUCUGGAGGGGGCGGCUAACAUCUCCAGGAAGGCGACAACCAUAGAUUUGUGUUUCAGCAGGCGGGGAGGGGCAAGGCUGGGGGUAAGCUGCCGAAAGCCCGCCUCAGCCACCCGCUGCGCUUCCAGUCCCUUCCCUGGCUCAGGGCUGGCUAGAAAGACAGAGACGUUUCAUGCUGGCAGGCGUUCCACACCCAUUCCCUCACUUCUCUGGAAAUAGCCCCGGGAAGUAGGCAAUGUUACUGACUCCGUGUCACAGACCAGGAAAUGCAGACCUGCCUUGGCCGCAGAGCUACUUCAUGGGAGGGGGAUGGAGCCAGUUCUCACGCUGACAUUGGCCUGGUCCCCACAACUGUGCCUUUUCUGUUGUGUCCCCAGAAUUUUAACAUUCUCCAGCCAGACACAGGCCAAGACCGACAAUGCUUCACUUGGUGAAGACCAUUUUCUGUUCCUCCAGCAGCCUCCGUGACCUCGGGUGGGCCAUUCGGUCAAGUAAUCCUGAAUUUACCUCCCAGUGACAUUGUGUCUUUGAGUCAUCAUCAGGCUUCUUUCAGGGCAGACCCACGGGACUGUGUAGAAAAGGGCUUGAAGGAGGAGAUUUGUGACGGAGCCCCUGGUGCUGUCAAAGUCAAAUAAAAUAUACGGACAAAUCUCUAAGUUUAAAAUGUUUUAUUUGGGGAGCAAGAAUUUCAGUUUGGGGCAUACACACAGACUGGGUGGUCUUCAGUAUGUCCAAAGAGCAAAGAGAAGGUUGUAGGUUUCAUAAAAAUGAGAAAUGGUAUGGAUUGUUAGGAAAGCAAGUUCAUUAGCACUAGCAACGUUUUGGGGAUCCGGCAAGCUCUGAUUGGUGAGUGGGUGAAAUUAGUCUUAGAUUUCCGCAGGUUGUUUCUGUAGCUAUUAGAUCAAACCGGUUUCAGGUUGCAACACUUGUUCCAGCAGCCAGGGUUGGAGACAGUUAUACUCUUGGAGCAAUGUUACGUGGUCCAAGUGCUUUUUCCCGUGGUCUCAACUCUGCUUGGCUAUGACAACAGUGUCCUUUGUAUGAUCAACUUUCACAGUGGCCACAGGAGGAGACAGAUUUGAGCCCAUGCCCAUGCCUUCUGGCUGGCUUUCUCUCCCUUGCUCCUAGCAGGGCAAUGCAGGGUGAGUGACAGAAGUGGACUCAGCUACAGGCAACAUCGAGUGAUCUAGGUUCGAAAUAUGGCACUUUAUCUGUUGUCUUAUCAACAUAAAGAUACAGCGCUUUGAAAUUUUGUCGAAUUCAGGUUUGAGCAACCUGAUGCAGAAAUUCCUGGGUCAGGGACUCCAGGGCGGGGAGUUGGAGGGGUGAGCUGGCUGCAAAGUCUCUGGUCAAUGUGGGUUCUGGAAAAGAAAGAAAGACGGAAGGGAGUCUCCUCACUUCACCUCUCUGGUC